rnacentral:rRNA from 1 species
AUACGUAGGUCCCGAACGUUGCGCGAAAUUACUGGGCGUAAAGGGUCCGUAGGCGGUCUGGUAAGUGGAAGGUGAAAGCCUGGGGCUCAACCCCAGAAUUGCCUUCCAAACUGCCGGACUUGAGGCAGGGAGAGGUCGGCGGAAUUCCCGGUGUAGUGGUGAAAUGCGUAGAUAUCGGGAGGAACACCAGUGGCGAAGGCGGCCGACUGGAACUGUGCUGACGCUGAGGGACGAAAGCCAGGGGAGCGAACCGGAUUAGAUACCCUAGUAGUCC